rnacentral:rRNA from 1 species
UACGAAGGGUGCGAGCGUUGUUCGGAAUUAUUGGGCGUAAAGGGUUCGUAGGCGGGAGUGUAAGUUGAAUGUGAAAACCCUAGGCUUAACCUGGGACGUGCAUUCAAAACUGUACUUCUUGAGUUUUGGAGAGGGUGGAGGAAUUGCUGGUGUAGGAGUGACAUCCGUAGAGAUCAGCAGGAACGCCAGAGGCGAAAGCGUCCACCUGGCCAGAGACUGACGCUGAGGAACGAAAGCGUGGGGAGCAAACAGGAUUAGAUACCCUGGUAGUCCACGCUGUAAACGAUGAUGACUGGAUGUUGGAAGAGUUUGACCUUUUAGUAUCGAAGUACACACGGUAAGUCAUCCGCCUGGGGAGUACGGCCGCAAGGCUAAA